AUGCAGAUACUGUGGUUUUUUUUAACUUGUAUUACUGCCACCUGUUCUCCAGGGGCUUCUGACAGAAUCAUCACUUCUUGCAUCUUUGUGACUCUGCUUCUGAUGGGAGCGUCUGUCCUGUUAUUAUACAAAUUAGGAUACAUCAAGACACGAGAUCAGCAUCCUUCCCCAGACAGAACAGAGAUGAGCGGUGGAGAGGCCUUUCAUGCUGCAUGUGAUUAUGAGAAUAUCAGAGACGUCAGACACUGCUUAGUCGUGGGAACUGAGGAAACUGUGUUAAAUUCCACUGCCACGCGUCCCACAGACUCGUCUGAUCCACACAACACACUGUAUUCUAAAUUACAGUUACCCACAAACCCCUCUGAUGGGCUCCUGUACGCUUCGGUCCAUUUCCAGAAGCAUGAAGAGUCUCUCAGUGAUGCUAAAGAAACCUCCAAUAACGAGGAGGUUCACUGUUAUUAUACCACGGUAAGACCCCGCAUGUCACUCAACUAAUUCCACUCUUAAAAAUAAAGGUUUCAGAAGGGUGGUGUUUCUUUCUUUCUUUUUUUUUUUUUUUUGUAGUGAUGCCAAAGAAGAACCCUUUUUGGUUCCCCAAAGAACCUUUAUGUAAACUGUUCUUAAAUGAGCUGUGUUUUUCUUAGUGUAGACAAUAUUCUAACAUUCUAAAGAAUGUUUUCAGCUAAUGCUUGUGCAUUGUGAAGAUUCCAUUGAUGUUAAAGGCUCUUCAUGGAACCGUCAAGGCCGAUAAAGAAGCUUUAUUUGGAAUCUGGUCAUGAAUGCAGUGAAAUUGUAAUGUGUACAGUGACUCCUAAAAUUAUUUACACUUCAGUGACACUUAAAAAAGCAUUUCAUUAGAUAGAAAAUUAUAUAAAAAAAUCAAAUACCAUUUAUUGUAAAGAAAGGUAGCAAAAGUACUUUUUUUCUCUCAAAAUAAUAAGUAUUGCAUGACUUUGCGUUUGUUUGUGAUUAGUGUAACAUAUUCACAGUGAACUGCCCUUCUGUACACUCAUAAAUGUGAAAGAAAUUCAUAAUUGAGGAAAAACUAAUAGCAUUUGUUUACACGUGGAACUUGAUCUGCUCUGCUCGGUUUACUAUAGUUAGUCAUUUUAUCACACUACCAUGAAAUUACAGAUAACAGAAACUGUAGAUAAACAAAGUAAACACAGGAGCAGAGCAUCUGCUGAAAAUAUAAAAGAAAACAACUCGACUGGACAUUUUUUUUUUUUUACACACACAACACACCCUUGCACCCAAAAGCAUCUGGAAAUGACUGAUGCGUCAAAAUGCAGGAAGAAAAAGGAGCCGUUAACAUAUGUACAUUCAUUAUGAAUUUUACUUACUGCCACUGUUUAUUUAUUCUUUCUAACUGCACUGUGUUUGUUCAGAGAUGCCUUAUAAACAGAAGGACCAUAUGACAUAAAGCAGUGUGUUUAAGAGCCGUACCAGUUAUGAGACUGAGAUAUUAAUACAUGCUAAAUUAAAUAUGUGCCUUGUUUAUAUCAUGUAUAUUGUACAGAUCAUCACAUGAGUGUGUGUUUGUUAUAUACAGGUUUCUGUUUUUCAUUUAUCAAAGUGAUAAUUCUACAGGGACGCUAACCCCCAUAAUCACCUUCAGCUGGUCAGUUGUUUGACUUGACUGCUAAUUAUUCACUUUGUGUACCACACGUUUCAGUAUGCUGCCCUCUGCUGUUCAAGUAUUAAAAAUGCAGUUUAAACCUUUCCUUGGUUUGACUCGAUUUAUUGGGUACCGGUCAGUGAACAGCAUCAUGACUGAUGAAAACAAUACAAAGACGGAUUUUAAACCACAUUUGCAUGCAAGCACCCAUGUGUUUUUCUACUCUUCAGAUAUUGUUAUUUUUGUUUGUUUGUUUUGUAAAUGUGUGUGUGCUAAUUUGUGUGGCAGAAGCUUUCAGACCUGCACAGGUGCUAACAGACAGGAAGUUGCUCACUCUCACUCUCUUUGGUUUAACUCCACUGUGAGUCAGUGACAGCAGGAAUGUAUUUCAUCACUGUGAGCCAGAAAAGAGUUAAGCAAAGAGGAAGAGGAAGAGGAAGAGGUGGAGCUGUUUGUAUGUAUAUAUAUAUAUAUAUAUAACAACCCUUAAAGAGCUGAAGAUAGAGACACAAAAUCAGACACAGCUCUCAGCAUCUUUGACUGCAGAAGAAUGUACAGAUUCACAGGAUCGAGAGUUUUAUCAUCAGUGAUUUUACAAUAUUUAUAUUUAAUGUUUAAUUAAAAUUACAAAUGAGUUUGUUUUGCUGUCAGGGUCGUGUUGUGGGACAUCAGAAGAACAGACUGCUUAUUUAAGAGGAACUGCUGUCAUCCGAGAAAUAUAAAGAUCAUUUUAAAUCAACAUAAAAUUUGGAACAUAACUUAUUUAGACAUGAGGCUUUAAUAUUAUAGCAAUUUUGGAUUUAAAAAUAUUUUGUAAAAUAUUU
rnacentral:lncRNA from 12 species